GCUCUCAGAAAGGAUAAAGGUACCUUCUGGAUUCCUAUUGUCAGUGGAGAGACCACAGGAUAUUUGGACAUAAAUUAAAGAGUUGGAACCUGUUGUGGACUGAAAACCUCAAGGAAUGAUGAGGCAACGAUGGGGGUGAGAGGCAGAAGUUCUGAGUUCCAGUCCUGCCUCGGUGGAGUUUCUUCUCGCCUCACUCUGACCUCAGAUAUUUGCACUCCUAUGGCUCCACAUUUUCGCCCUUGAUGAUUUCAGCCACUCUGAGAUUUCAACUAUAAUGUCUAUAAAAUGUUAAGGAACAGUGCUGCGUAUUUAAGAACUCAUUUGCACAUACUGUAUGGAGCACUGGGUGUGGUGCAUAAACAGUG